AUUCCAAUGAGAACUUGGAAGACUGAAGAGGAGAAGGUUUUCAUGAGACUGCAGUAGGUCAUGAGUGACCCGACCCUAACUCCAGGGAAAGGGGAUGUGGUUAACAUUCCACAGGUAGGCGUUGCAGAGUGGCGACACUAGCAACUGCAAGACGGCGGGGACGUCCCGGGGAGAGUUCUCUUUUCUGCUUAACACCAUGACUGUCUGGAAGGCCUUUACGGCGAGAGAGACGCUAGUGGUGGAAGAGCAGCACACUCUUAGUGCUGUCCGGAGUGCUGUUCACGCCCCUUGAAAAUUGCAGUUGUGCUGCAGGCCUAGUCGUACCGAAUCCGCAACAGGUCUCCAAGGUUAGCAGCCUCUAGU
rnacentral:rRNA from 1 species